AUGCUGUUUGUAAAGUUCCUCUUUUACUUUUUCAUUUGUUUCAACGAGUGAUGUUUGUUUCUGAUGUAUUUUCUACAGGACAUGGAGAAAUUAGAGCAACCUAAGGUAUUCACUCAUGCUCCUGACACCAAGAAGACCUAGCUGCCAGCACCUAUUGAACUAUUAGUUUGGUGACUAAGGACACUUGUUCGAUAGGGAUGUGAGAUUUCAUUUGUUUACUUUAUCUGGGAUAUCUUUGUGACUAAGGUCACUUGUUGAACUAUAGUUUGGUGUUCGUGAUGAAUGUAAUAAAUAUGUUGAUGAAUGACUUG
rnacentral:lncRNA from 1 species